CUGGUUGAUCUUUCCAGUAGUCAUAUGCUUGUCUAAAAUAUUAAGAUAUUAAUGUGUAAGUAUAAACAAAUUCAGAUAGUAAAACUGUGAAUGGCUCAUUAAAUCAGUUAUAGUUUGUUUGAUGGUAUAUACUACUCGGAUAACCAUAGUAAUCCUAGAGGUAAUACGUGCAAAAAAACCAAAAUUUUAGAAGGGAUACAUUUAUUAGAUAAAGGUGCUACGAUGAUUUGUGAUAGCUCGAUGGAUCGCACAGCUAUUGUGCCGGUGAUUCAUUAUUCUAAUUUUUGCUCUCUCAACUUUUGAUAGUAGGAUAGUGGCCUACCAUGUUGUUGAUGGGUGAUGGAGAAUAGGGUUCAAUUCCAGAAAAGGAGCCUGAGAAACGGCUACCACAUCCAAGGAAAGCAGCAGGCGCGGAAAUUACCCAAUCCUGACACGGGGAGGUAAUGACAAUAAAUAACAAUACUAGGCUCAAUAAGUCUGGUAAUUGGAAUGGGUACAAUGUAAAUCCCUUAACGAGGAUCCAAUUGAGGGAAAGUCUAGUGCCAGCAACCGCGGUAAUUCGAGCUCCAAUAACGUAUAUUUAAGUUGUUUUAGUUAAAAAAGUCGUAGUUGAACUUUGGGAUGGGCCGUCCAGUCUGCCUAUGGUGUGCACUGGUCGUCUCGUCCCUUCCGUUGCCUAUACACUCCUAGCCAUAACUGGAUGGGUCAUGCCUCUGACACUAUUACUUUGAAUAAAUUAGAGUGCUCAAAGAAAUCCUACGCUCUAUAUACAUUAGCAUGGGAUAAUACUAUAGGAUUUCUAUAAUACCUCGAAAAUAGGUCUCGAGAUGUCACAUGGUGCUCAAUACUAUGAGUAGCCUUAAACUAACCCUGUCUACCUUCUA
rnacentral:ncRNA from 1 species